GUAGGGAAUAUUGCACAAUGGAGGAAACUCUGAUGCAGCGACGCCGCGUGAGUGAUGAAGGCCUUCGGGUCGUAAAACUCUGUGAUAAGGGAAGAUGAUGACGGUACCUUAUCAGAAAAGACCGGCUAACUUCGUGCCAGCAGCCGCGGUAAUACGAGGGGUCUAAGCGUUGUUCGGAAUCACUGGGCGUAAAGCGGGGGUAGGUGGCUAUGCAAGUUGGAUGUGAAAGCCCCGGGCUCAACCCGGGAAGUGCAUCCAAAACUACGUAGCUUGAGUGCGGGAGCGAAAGGCAGAAUUCCUGGUGUAGUGGUGAAAUACGUAGAUAUCAGGAGGAACUCCGGUGGCGAAGGCGGCCUUUUGGCCCAGCACUGACACUCAGACCCGAAAGCGUGGGUAGCAAACAGGAUUAGAUACCCUGGUAGUCC
rnacentral:rRNA from 1 species